rnacentral:tRNA from 1 species
GCCGGAGUAGCUCAUCGGUAGAGCAGCACCAUGGUAGGGUGUUGGCAGCGGGUUCAAUUCCCGCCUCCGGCU